rnacentral:lncRNA from 1 species
GAGAUAUUCAGAGUGAAUUGAAAAGACAGGAUGAAGUGGACACAGCAUGUGAAGACAAUUCUUUCAAGAAGUUUGGCUGUCAAGGAAAACAGAGAAUGUGCUAAAGAACAUACAGACACAGAGCAGACAGGCCACCUUUGCAACCACAUGGAGGUUUGUCUGAUAUUGAAGCUAAAGAAGCUAAGCUGGAAGACAGAGAGACCAAGUCCUGAUGACAUUGUUUGAACCCAGAGAUCCAGACAUGCCUGAAAACUAGUUUUACCACUGGACUUAUCCGUUGAAUGAGCCAAUAAACUCUCUUUUAUACUUAACCUUGGGUUUUACCUGGAUUUUUG